UGGGAUAGAGAAAGAAAAGAAGGCUGAAAAACAUGCAAUUGCUUUUAGAACAAAGACCGAGCUUGAGACCUUGGAUGAUGGAUACAAAUGGAGGAAAUAUGGAAAAAAGAAGGUGAAAAGCAACACAAAUCCAAGGUAAAUACAUCAAAGUUCUGAGCUCUAGCUUAGCUUGUGUGCUGCAAUUCUGGAGGAUAUUGAUAAUUAUGCAUUGAUGAUUUUAAUGGUUUAUAUAUUUAUUUGUUUACUUGUUUGUUUGAUGUUGAUGUUUUAAAGAAAUUCAAGCAAUAAUGGGAUAGAGAAAGAAAAGAAGGCUGAAAAACAUGCAAUUGCUUUUAGAACAAAGACCGAGCUUGAGACCUUGGAUGAUGGAUACAAAUGGAGGAAAUAUGGAAAAAAGAAGGUGAAAAGCAACACAAAUCCAAGGUAAAUACAUCAAAGUUCUGAGCUCUAGCUUAGCUUGUGUGCUGAUCGUCCUAAAUUAAUGUAUUGUUUUGAUGUUUUGGCGCAAAUUCUUUCUAAAUACUCUACUUUGUAUAUAUUAUUACUUUUGCUUUUGAAGGUGGAUUAUUUCAGAAAUAUUCAAGGAUUGUACACACACUAAACAUUAUUUACAAAAGCCAAUUAUUGGGUGCU
rnacentral:lncRNA from 1 species